AACGCACAUUGCGCCCCUUGGUAUUCCGGGGGGCAUGCCUGUUCGAGCGUCAUUGCACCCCUCAAGCGAAGCUUGGUAUUGGGCCCUCGCCCCCGCGGCGUGCCCGAAAAGCAGUGGCGGUCCGGAGCGACUUUAAGCGUAGUAAAUUUCUCCCGCUUUGAAAGUUCGCCCCGCGGCCGGCCAGACAACCUCAUUAUUCCAAUAAUUGACCUCGGAUCAGGUAGGGAUACCCGCUGAACUUAA
rnacentral:misc_RNA from 3 species